rnacentral:tRNA from 3 species
GCCGUCGUAGCUCAGCCUGGGAGAGCACUCGGCUGAAGACCGAGCUGUCGUGAGCUCAAAUCUCACCGGCGGCA